rnacentral:rRNA from 1 species
UAGGGAAUAUUGCUUAAUGGGCGAAAGCCUGAAGCAGCAACGCCGCGUGAACGAAGAAGGCCUUCGGGUCGUAAAGUUCUUUUACGUGGGAUGAGGAAGGACAGUACCACGAGAAUAAGUCUCGGCUAACUGCGUGCCAGCAGCCGCGGUAAAACGUAGGAGACGAGCGUUAUCCGGAUUUACUGGGCGUAAAGCGCGUGUAGGAGGCGCUACAAGUUGGAUGUGAAAGCUCCCGGCUUAACUGGGAGAGGUCGUUCAAGACUGUAGAGCUAGAGUGAGGCAGAGGUAGAUGGAACUCCGGGAGUAGUGGUGAAAUGCGUAGAUAUCCGGAAGAACACCAGAGGCGAAAGCGAUCUACUGGACCUAAGCUGACACUGAGACGCGAAAGCCAGGGUAGCAAACGG